GAUCAGUCGAUUCGCUCGCCGUCUUGGGAAACCAUAAUUUCCGACAGCUUUUCACAACUGUCACUGCAUUUGCCCACAUAUAUGGUAUGUUUCUUUUCGGUUUCCCAAAAGUGUGUGCCAUGCGAAAAAUAUAAUUGUCAGGAAAAUAUGUAUUACCCAAAUUCGAGGGCCAUCCAUUGGUUUUCCAGAGCUCUGGAGCCGCUCACGACUGUUUGGCUUGGAGACGAGUUUCCGACUGAUUUUCCCAGAUGCUGGCACCGAGAAUGUAAACCCAUGACCAGGCUCGAAUUUGAAGCGCCCGACGUCGACUGAGGCAGCGGCCGAGGCAGAGGCAGCAACAGAGGCAGAGGCUGUGGCAGAGGCAGAGAUCUGGCCGAGCGUCGGCGGCUAUAUACUAUAUAGCGUAGGCCAUAUAGUCGUAUAUAGAGCGGUAAUCUGUGUGCAAGAUCUGAGGCGAUUCGUCGUCUAUAGGAAUGCGUCGAUGGCGAUUGUUGUUCAUGCAAGUGUCUGGUCUGGUCUGGCACAAAUAGAGGGAAGACGGCGACAAUUACAGCAGAGCGCUGGGUUUCCUGAUUCACCAUUGCAAAAAGUACUAUAUCUAUGGUUCUAUUGUUUUGAGGUGCUGGGUCCAAACGCCUUUACAAAUAUCUGACUUACAAACAAAAAACCUAGGGCAUUUACUAUCUUAGGACUGAAAAACCUCUUAAAUUUUAUAAAGCUCAUCAAGGUGUCUAAAAGUAUGCAACAAUGAAUUCGGAAUAUGUGCAGAAACACCAAGUUCUAUUUUUCACAGCAUAUUUUUAGAGAUUUCAAAACCCCAGUGGGGUUUCAUAGUUGUAAUAGUUUCGAAUAGAAUUGUAUUUAAAAUUGUUAGACUAUUUAGCAAUUAGGUUUACUUAUUUAAAUCCCAAAAUGAUGCUUUGAAUUUAUCAAAUAAUAUAGUAAAGAAUAUUCAACUUGCCAAUGUUAAAUAAUAAUCUUGCUGAAAUCUAUAAAUAUCCCAUCUUUUCAAUAGCUUUGACUAAGUUCUACACUUUAUUUAACCCAUUUUAGCAACUUUUAUUUCAUAACUUCAUAAAUUAAGCCUCCUCCAUCUUAUCCAAACCGAAAAUCCACACCAUCCCCAUGUCGACCAUCUGUGAUAACCGCAAUGGGACAAUGCGAAGACCCCAAGUGGAUCAAUUAAAAUGCAACUACCUCCGCUUUCAAUGCCAAAAUGCCAUUUCCCUUUCAAAUGCCUUAUGCCUUCCGUCCCGUUCGACUGUCCGUUGCACUGGUGUCGCUUAAGUCAUCAAAGUCCGGCCAGAUAAAGUGCCCCCGAAUCAGAUCGAAUUGAAUGCCAGGCGGGACAAAGGGACCGCAUUUCCAAGGGCCCGGACGCUGGGCAUGCACAUGGCCAGCUCAACUUGGUUGGGGUUUAUCUGGAUUUUGCGUUUCUGUUGCCAUAGCGCCACACCCACCCACCGCAAACGGAAUGGAAAUGAAAAUCGGAAUGCUUAUGGUAAUGGGAGUGGGAGUGGGAGUGGGAGUGGGUGCGGUGGGUCCCAUUGAUGACGCUGAAGACUUUCAUUCACAAAACUGCAGGAUUUUCAAGGCAGGCACAGAACGGAGCGGCAAACGUCAGCAGUGAAUGGAAAAGCCCCUCCCACGCCCCUGUGAAAAUGUGGAAAAUUGUGCAGCCCCCGCUGAAUGUCCUUCGUGGCGGAUGUGGGUGCGGAUGAUGCGGAUGGAAAGGCGGUACGGCGGAGGUUCCUAGGCUAAUGAAGACCAAUGACGUCCGACGUGCCAUGCAGGCACUGGGAAAAAUUCCUAAAUCGUUUUUGGAAUCAAAAUGGGGAAAAUUAUCUUUGAUGUGUAUUUACUUAUGAUUUUUAUAAGUUAGAUAAAGUAUAUGUUUAGAGAUUGACAAAAAUAUAUUAACCCAAUAUUUCUCAUGACUAGGCAGUGAACCCCUACCCUUCUUACCUACUUAUUGUAUUAAAGAGUACUAUUUAAUGGUAGUUUAACUAUUAAAUAGUAACCAAAGCAACUUAAAAAUACAAGCCACUAUUAUUAAUAGUUAUUAACCUUUUUUUUUAGAGUUAUAUAAUACAAUAAAAUUUUUUUGUCUGUACCUA